GAUGAACGCUGGCGGCGUGCCUAAUACAUGCAAGUCGAGCGAACGGGCGAGAAGCUUGCUUCUCUGAUGUUAGCGGCGGACGGGUGAGUAACACGUGGAUAACCUACCUAUAAGACUGGGAUAACUUCGGGAAACCGGAGCUAAUACCGGAUAAUAUUUUGAACCGCAUGGUUCAAAAGUGAAAGACGGUCUUGCUGUCACUUAUAGAUGGAUCCGCGCUGCAUUAGCUAGUUGGUAAGGUAACGGCUUACCAAGGCAACGAUGCAUAGCCGACCUGAGAGGGUGAUCGGCCACACUGGAACUGAGACACGGUCCAGACUCCUACGGGAGGCAGCAGUAGGGAAUCUUCCGCAAUGGGCGAAAGCCUGACGGAGCAACGCCGCGUGAGUGAUGAAGGUCUUCGGAUCGUAAAACUCUGUUAUUAGGGAAGAACAUAUGUGUAAGUAACUGUGCACAUCUUGACGGUACCUAAUCAGAAGGCCACGGCUAACUACGUG
rnacentral:rRNA from 1 species